rnacentral:lncRNA from 1 species
AGAAAUCAAGGAAACAAGCUAGGUAAGUUAGAAUUUCUUUAAUUCUCCUUGAUACCUAGCUUACCCAUGCUUUUGUUCUUGAUUUCCAUGGUUGAAUAUUGAGUUAUCAUGAUGAAUUCAAUUCUGAAAAAUGGGUAUGGAAGAGGAAUUGUUGUUGGAAUAAUUUGAUUUUAGACUAUGUUAGUGUUUAGGGAUAGUUAAGCAUGGUUAUGAACAAAAACACAAAAGAAAUAUUCAAUUUCUCUAGGGUUCCUUGUUGGCCGAACCAUGAGGGCUGAAUAUCAAUGGGGGAUUGUUUUUAUUUCAAGGAAAAUGGCUUGGAAAAUGAUGAAUUAAGGUGAAACGGUUAUGUAGAAAAAAUUUCGGUGCUAGUGCACCAAAUGACCGAAUUUUUCUAUAAGGAACUGUGAGGGUUCUAAUGCUGAAUUUGGCUUUAUUUAAAUGGUAUGUGGUAAAUUAAGGUAUUAGAGGAGAAAUGGAUUAAUUUGGAGGUGAUUUGGACACAAUCGCCAAUUAAUCGGGUGAUCGGUCGAAUUUAAUCGAUACCGCGAUUAAGCGGUAAUCGGACGUAUUUUUGCAUUUACAUAUCAAGCAUUAGUAAUUUAAAUUAGUUUAUAUCAAUUUAGGGACAAUAUAGUAAAUUCCUCGACUUUGUUAUUUGACAAGGUAGUGAGACGUCCGAAAAAGGCAAAGGAAUUACGCUUGAGGACUAUUAGUCCGAGUGCACCCGGAAUCCGAAUUUUCGACACCUGUGAGUGAAUUUGCAUUUCAAAAUUUAUUUGGGAAUUCUAAUUAAGUUGAAAUGAAAUGCGUGAAUGAUUAUAUCUAAUUCCCAUUUAAAAAUGAAUCUCGGGAACAAGCCUUUAGUGAAAAUAUUUCUGUGAUGUUAAAUAUGAUUGCGAUGCAUCUGUGUAUAUCUGUAUGAUGCCUACAUGUAUUAUUGAGAAAUUGUGUGAAAUUAAGUGUACUGAAUCUGUGUACCCUUGUAUUAUGCUGAUAUGCAUUAUUAAUAAAUUAUGGUGAAAUUGAUGCAACUGUGCAUGUGUGGAGUGGGAAGUGCAAUGCCAGUUGAAUGACAAAAGGAUGUGAUAAUUACGACCGUGCAUGUGCGGAGUGGGAAGUGCAAUGCUAGUUGAAUGACAAAGGAUGUGAUAAUUACGACCGUGCAUGUGCGAAGUGGGAAGUGCAAUGCCUGUUUAAUGAUAAAGGUUGUGGGGAUGGCGAUACGUAAUGCCCACAAUUUCCUAAAAAUUCAGAGGUGUGCAAAGAGGGAUACUGAGUGAUACCCCUUACUGAGUACUCCGAUAGUUAUUUCUUUGUACCACCAAGAAUAGUGAAGACUUGGCGGUGUAUAUAAUUGCUCAUAUCUUUGUGU